UACGUAGGGCGCAAGCGUUGUCCGGAAUUAUUGGGCGUAAAGAGCUCGUAGGCGGUGUGUCGCGUCGGCCGUGAAACCUGCAGCUUAACUGUGGGCUUGCGGUCGAUACGGGCAUCACUGGAGUUCGGCAGGGGAGACUGGAAUUCCUGGUGUAGCGGUGAAAUGCGCAGAUAUCAGGAGGAACACCGGUGGCGAAGGCGGGUCUCUGGGCCGAUACUGACGCUGAGGAGCGAAAGCGUGGGGAGCGAACAGG
rnacentral:rRNA from 1 species